GGGGAUGUAGCUCAGUGGUAGAGCACUUACCUAGCAUGCAUGAGGCUCUGGUUCCGUCCCCA
rnacentral:tRNA from 1 species